rnacentral:rRNA from 1 species
GACGAACGCUGGCGGCGUGCCUAAUACAUGCAAGUUGAGCGAUGAAGAUUGGUGCUUGCCCCAAUUUGAAGAGCAGCGAACGGGUGAGUAACGCGUGGGGAAUCUGCCUUUGAGCGGGGGACAACAUUUGGAAACGAAUGCUAAUACCGCAUAACAACUUUAAACAUAAGUUUUAAGUUUGAAAGAUGCAAUUGCAUCACUCAAAGAUGAUCCCGCGUUGUAUUAGCUAGUUGGUGAGGUAAAGGCUCACCAAGGCGAUGAUACAUAGCCGACCUGAGAGGGUGAUUGGCCACAUUGGGAAUGAGACACGGCCCAAACUCCUACGGGAGGCAGCAGUAGGGAAUCUUCGGCAAUGGACGAAAGUCUGACCGAGCAACGCCGCGUGAGUGAAGAAGGGUUUCGGAUCGUAAAACUCUGUUGGUAGAGAAGAACGUUGGUGAGAGUGGAAAGCUCAUCAAGUGACGGUAACUACCCAGAAAGGGACGGCUAACUACGUG